GAUGAGGUGGCCGAGUGGUUAAGGCGAUGGACUGCUGGACCAUUGUGCUAUGCACACAUGGGUUCAAAUCCCAUCCUCGUCG